rnacentral:rRNA from 1 species
CUACGGGUCGCUCCAGUGGGGAAUAUUGGACAAUGGGGGAAACCCUGAUCCAGCAAUGCCGCGUGUGUGAAGAAGGCCUGCGGGUUGUAAAGCACUUUCGGUUGGGAGGACUGCUUCUAGCACUAAUAUUGUUGGAAGUUGACGUUACCUUCAGAAGAAGCACCGGCUAACUCCGUGCCAGCAGCCGCGUUAAUACGGAGGGUGCAAGCGUUAAUCGGAAUUACUGGGCGUAAAGCGCGCGUAGGCGGCUAGAUCAGUCGGGUGUGAAAGCCCCGGGCUUAACCUGGGAACUGCAUCCGAUACUGUCUAGCUUGAGUACAGGAGAGGAGAGUGGAAUUCCACAUGUAGCGGUGAAAUGCGUGGAUAUGUGGAGGAACACCAAUGGCGAAGGCAGCUCUCUGGCCUGAUACUGACGCUGAGGUGCGAAAGCGUGGGGAGCAAACAGGAUUAGAUACCCCUGUAGUC